UACGGAGGGUGCAAGCGUUGUCCGGAUUUAUUGGGCUUAAAGGGUGCGUAGGCGGAUUGGUAAGUCAGCGGUGAAAGUUUGCAGCUCAACUGUAAAAUUGCCAUUGAUACUGUCAGUCUUGAGUGCAGUCGAGGUGGUUGGAAUGCGUAGUGUAGCGGUGAAAUGCUUAGAUAUUACGCAGAACACCAAUAGCGAAGGCAGAUCGCCAGGCUGUAACUGACGCUGAGGCACGAAAGUGUGGGGAUCGAACAGG
rnacentral:rRNA from 1 species